rnacentral:lncRNA from 1 species
UGGAAUUCACAUAAUCAUCAUGCAGUUCAUUGAAAGCUUCUUGUAGCUCAUCAUAUGUUGGAUUAGAUUGUGAACUAACCUCAUUUUCUGAUUCUGAAUCGGUAUUUGCCAUGAGACACAAAUUGACUUCUUCUUCAUCCGAAGAGGCAGAGGAUUGUUCGUUGUCACUCCAUGCAAUAUAUGCUCUUCUGGCUUUGUGAGCUGGCUCCUUGUCUUUAGUAUUUGUAGUCCUAUUUUUGUAUUUCAUCUUGUGACAGUCAGACUUGAUAUGACCAGUUUUACCACAUUCAUAGCAUGUAAUUGUCUUGUUGUCACUAGUCUUGGAGCUAGAUGGCUUCCUGAAUUUGUUGUCUUUCUUCUUCAGAAACUUCUUAAAUUUCUUGACAAGUGACCCGAUUUCAGUCUCUUCAGUUUCACUACUGGAUUCAUCUGAGCAGCUAUCUGAUUCAGUUUUCGAUUGCUGGGCUUGAACCUUCAAAGAUAAUCCUUUCUUUUUCC